rnacentral:rRNA from 1 species
GACGGAGGAUGCAAGUGUUAUCCGGAAUCACUGGGCUUAAAGCGUCUGUAGGUGGUUUAAUAAGUCAACUGUUAAAUCUUGAGGCUCAACCUCAAAAUCGCAGUCGAAACUAUUAGACUAGAGGAUAGUAGGGGUAAAGGGAAUUUCGAGUGGAGCGGUGAAAUGCGUAGAGAUUGGAAAGAACACCGAUGGCGAAGGCACUUUACUGGGCUAUUACUAACGCUGAGAGACGAAAGCGAGGGUAGCAAAUGGG